GGCUCCAGCCUCCCCUUCCUCCCAGGGCCCUGGGCUCCAGCCUCCCCUUCCUCCCAGGGCCCAGCCCUCACAAGCGCAGCCAAGCGCUCCACAUCCCUGCCCCCUACUUGAUUGAAACAAGGUGGACAGCGGUGAGGCAGGCCUGACCCCUGCCUCGGAGGAGAGAGCCAAGCCGGGUCAUCCACCUUUAACUCCUCCCCCAACCCUCACGUCCACUGGAAAUAAGCUGGCUGGUUCUUUAAUUUUGCUGAUGAGAUAAUGUGUAAGAGUUGGCUAGAGAGAGGGGGAAUCCAGAGGGAAGGUGGAAGGUCACAGCAGAGUUCAGAGCCCUCCUUGUCGGCCAGAGCAGGAGGAAAACAGAUGUCAACAGCUGCUUUGGGGAGGGGGUCCGAGGGAGAGCCGCCAGCCCCAGGAGCCCAGAACCUGACAUGGGAACCUGGAGGGAUGUGGCCUGUCCUGGAGGCACCAAGCAUCCUCCCAUUAGCACCCCAAGGUCCCCAUGGGGCAAGAGAGGAGAGCCGUUCUCAGAAUCAGGAUGUCAGGUCCGCCCUUGUCCCCACUGAGGGCAGUGUACCGGGGCUCUAAAAGAAGCCCACCUCUGCCCGCCAGUCCCUGGCAUGCCUGGUCUGGAAGCAGCCGCAGUGGGUUCUCCUCUCACUGUGGUCCCCCCCCCCCCCCGAGGUUCCCCCAGGCCACAAGGAGCUCAAGUACAGUUCCCCCCACCCCCUAGAAGGACUUGAAGUGUGGAAAGAGAGCCACCAAGGCCUGGACAAGAUCCUGUCUGUGUGUAGAUCCUCGGGAGGACCCCGGAUGGGCACAGAACUGGCACAGUGCCCACCCCAGGCUGCACCAGGAAGUGGACAGUUGCUCAGAGCAGGGAGGGUGUCAGGAGGGCAUAGCCUGUGUGGGGCCCUGACCACAUGCUACAUGCUGUCCUAAUCAUUCCCUCCUCCUGCAGAUGAGUGGGCCGAGCGGCAGAGCAGAUGGGGCUCACUCGAGACUGGCAGAGCCAGGA